rnacentral:rRNA from 1 species
CCUACGGGUGGCAGCAGUGGGGAAUAUUGGACAAUGGGCGCAAGCCUGAUCCAGCAAUGCCGCGUGUGUGAAGAAGGCCUGAGGGUUGUAAAGCACUUUCAGGGGGGAGGAAGGUAUUUUGUUGAAUAAACAAGAGAUUUGACGCUACCUCCAGAAGAAGCACCGGCUAACUCUGUGCCAGCAGCCGCGGUAAUACAGAGGGUGCAAGCGUUAAUCGGAGUGACUGGGCGUAAAGGGCGUGUAGGUGGAGAGAUAAGUUAUGUGUGAAAUAUCCGGGCUUAACCUGGAGGAGUCAUGUAAUACUGUUUUUCUAGAGUAGAGCAGAGGGAAGUAGAAUUUCCGGUGUAGCGGUGAAAUGCGUAGAGAUCGGAAGGAAUACCAGUGGCGAAGGCGGCUUCCUGGGCUCAUACUGACACUGAGGCGCGAAGGCGUGGGUAGCG